GGAUGUAUUUGACUUCUCUCGGAG
rnacentral:tRNA from 1 species